CAAGUAAAGCCUCCCAAUAAUGAGAAUUUCUGGAUUCAAACCUCUUACCUUGCAAGUAAAGCUUGGCUAGAAAUUAACUUUACGCCAUAGAUUCAACUACUUUGUUGAUUAAAUUACCCUGUUAUUAAUAAAGACUAAGCUAGUCACUCCAAUAAUUGGCUAUUGGCCUGAUAUAUUAUAUUGCAGUUGUACUCACUAGAAAAAUACUGUUACAUUAUUAAGGGGGGUUUACAUAUCCAUAGACAGCAAAGAAGGACUGAAUAACAGUGAGAAUAAGCAGGACUAAUGCAGCUAAAGCUGAGAGGAAAGCCCAUGGACUGUCAAAAUAAGUAUACUUGAACCCUGCCCAUCUCACAUGCCAAUCAUUAAAAUAAUACUGAUUCACACCCAUGAAAACUUCUCCUAGAUAACUAUUCUCAAUUUCGAAAAUAGUUCCAUUGCUUACCUGAUUGAAGAAUUUAACAAGUUCUUUGUCAGUUCCAAAGAAAUUCUCAAUGAUUUUGCGAUCUCUCAGAUACCCUGCAUCAAUAGGUGCGUUGUUGAGGCAGCUCAUGAAGAUAACAUAUGAUGUGAAGUGGGUUGAACCAUGCUUAUAACAUUGUUCAAAAGCAACGCAAUUGAUCAAGAAGGUGCUAAAGAAUUCAUCUAUUGACAAAUGUGGGAUUUCAAGAACUCCAUAACGUCUAAAUUUAAUGUCCAAGAAACUUUCAGCAGCAGGACUACUUGGAUUGAUCUCGACCCCAGCCACUUGGAGCUUCGCCACUGGUUGGAUCAGUCGAAGAAACUCCCCAUGAUCAACAUCUUUAGGAACUUCUUGGGGCUGCUUCAGGUCUUGAACAAAAGUCGAGCGAAACAAAUCCAACAAGUGCUUUCCACCAAGGUUCUUGUACUUUUCCAGGACUGCUUCAGGUCGUGAAAACGUGUGAUCAAAGAAUUUCAGGAUGAGUUCUGUCAAGGAAGGAAGAUCUUCUGCUUCGGAGGCUAAAAUUGAAAGCUCAUACAAAUUUUCCAGAACGAAGAUAGGGAUUUGAUUCUCUAGCCUGACAAAAUCCCUCAUAAGGGAAAAAGGUAUCCAUGGCAAACUGAAUAUAGAGUCACCCUCCUCAAAUUGAACUAAUCCUCCAGCUAUGCACAAGACCUCGAUAAUGAAACAUCCAUCAACAAUCAUCAUUUCAAUCAACUCAUGAUCGCUAUAUUUAUCUGUGCUCUCUGAAUAAUACUCUCUUAUCUUCUCCUUCUUCUUGGCUAUGGCCUUAUAAAAGUCGUCGAAUCCAUUACCGAAUUCUUGUGCCCGAGAAAGAGCAGCAUCAAGAAAUCGCCGUUUGUGCUCUUGAAUCAUCUGGAGGUGUUCUUUUCCAUGGUGGUAAGGGCCAAUGGAGACUAUUUGUGGAUGGAAGGCUUCGGGGUGAAUUUUCAGAAGACUUUGAGGCACCCUGAAGAUAGAACAAGGGUUCUUGCCUGCUGAUUUCUUCAACAACUUGGGCACUUCUUCCAUUAAUGAAUGUAACAAUAGUUUCUCGUUUACUUCUCCCUCUGCUGGGAUGCUGAUCAUUACAUGUUGAGAGGGAGUUUCUCCAAUCUCUUGGUUUCGGGUGCCAGGGAGAUUUGACAUUGUGUCCACUGAUGGGUUUUCCUUUGGAAGAAAGUGGCAGCUUUGGGACUUGGGAGAAG
rnacentral:misc_RNA from 1 species